GUUAAUGUAGCUUAACAACAAAAGCAAGGCACUGAAAAUGCCUGGAUGGGUACUUACACCCCAUAAACA